rnacentral:rRNA from 1 species
GUAGGGAAUCUUCGGCAAUGGACGAAAGUCUGACCGAGCAACGCCGCGUGAGUGAAGAAGGUUUUCGGAUCGUAAAACUCUGUUGUUAGAGAAGAACGUUAAGUAGAGUGGAAAAUUACUUAAGUGACGGUAUCUAACCAGAAAGGGACGGCUAACUACGUGCCAGCAGCCGCGGUAAUACGUAGGUCCCAAGCGUUGUCCGGAUUUAUUGGGCGUAAAGCGAGCGCAGGUGGUUUCUUAAGUCUGAUGUAAAAGGCAGUGGCUCAACCAUUGUAUGCAUUGGAAACUGGUAGACUUGAGUGCAGGAGAGGAGAGUGGAAUUCCAUGUGUAGCGGUGAAAUGCGUAGAUAUAUGGAGGAACACCGGUGGCGAAAGCGGCUCUCUGGCCUGUAACUGACACUGAGGCUCGAAAGCGUGGGGAGCAAACAGGAUUAGAAACCCCUGUAGUCC